rnacentral:rRNA from 1 species
CACGUAGGGCGCAAGCGUUGUCCGGAAUUAUUGGGCGUAAAGAGCUCGUAGGCGGUCUGUUGCGUCCGCUGUGAAAACUCGGGGCUUAACCCCGAGCCUGCAGUGGAUACGGGCAGACUAGAGGUAGGUAGGGGAGAAUGGAAUUCCGGGUGGAGUGGUGAAAUGCGUAGAGAUCCGGAGGAACACCAAAGGCGAAGGCAGUGUCCUGGGGAGUACCUGACGCUCAGGUGCGAAAGCCAGGGGAGCGAACGGG